rnacentral:tRNA from 1 species
GCUCCUAUAGUUCAACGGAUAGAACGAAGGUUUCCGGAACCUUAGAUAGAGGUUCAAUUCCUCUUAGGAGCA